rnacentral:rRNA from 1 species
UACGUAGGGGGCUAGCGUUGUCCGGAUUUACUGGGUGUAAAGGGCGCGCAGGCGGAUUAGCAAGUCAGAGGUGAAAUCCUACGGCCUAACCGUAGAACUGCCUUUGAAACUGUUAAUCUUGAGUUCGGAAGAGAGAGACGGAAUUCCAGGUGUAGUGGUGAAAUACGUAGAUAUCUGGAAGAACACCAGUUGCGAAGGCGGUCUCUUGGUCCGAUACUGACGCUCAGGUGCGAAAGCGUGGGUAGCAAAC